GACGAACGCUGGCGGCGUGCUUAACACAUGCAAGUCGAACGAAGAGCGAUGGAAGCUUGCUUCUAUCAAUCUUAGUGGCGAACGGGUGAGUAACGCGUAAUCAACCUGCCCUUCAGAGGGGGACAACAGUUGGAAACGACUGCUAAUACCGCAUACGAUCUAACCUCGGCAUCGAGGAUAGAUGAAAGGUGGCCUCUACAUGUAAGCUAUCACUGAAGGAGGGGAUUGCGUCUGAUUAGCUAGUUGGAGGGGUAACGGCCCACCAAGGCGAUGAUCAGUAGCCGGUCUGAGAGGAUGAACGGCCACAUUGGGACUGAGACACGGCCCAGACUCCUACGGGAGGCAGCAGUGGGGAAUCUUCCGCAAUGGACGAAAGUCUGACGGAGCAACGCCGCGUGAGCGAUGACGGCCUUCGGGUUGUAAAGCUCUGUUAAUCGGGACGAAAGGCCUUCUUGCGAAUAGGGAGAAGGAUUGACGGUACCGGAAGAGAAAGCCACGGCUAACUACGUG
rnacentral:rRNA from 1 species